rnacentral:rRNA from 1 species
GACGUAGGGUGCGAGCGUUGUCCGGAUUUAUUGGGCGUAAAGCGCACGUAGGCGGAUCGAUCAGUCAGGGGUGAAAUCCCAGAGCUCAACUCUGGAACUGCCUUUGAUACUGUCGAUCUGGAGUAUGGAAGAGGUGAGUGGAAUUCCGAGUGUAGAGGUGAAAUGUGUAGAGAUCGGGAGGAACACCGGUGGCGAAGGCGGUCUUCUGGACGGUGACUGACGCUGAGGCGCGAAAGCGUGGGGAGCAAACAGG